AGGACGAACGCUGGCGGCGUGCUUAACACAUGCAAGUGGAGCGACGAACCAGGGCUUGCCCUGGGGCAGAGCCGCGAACGGGUGAGUAACACGUGGGUUACCUGCCUUGAUGACUGGGACAACCCGGGGAAACUCGGGCUAAUACCGGAUGUGCCCGCAAGGGGAAAGGAAGCUUCGGCCUCCGCAUCAAGAUGGGCCCGCGGCCCAUUAGCUUGUUGGUGAGGUAACGGCUCACCAAGGCUUCGAUGGGUAGCUGGUCUGAGAGGACGAUCAGCCACACUGGGACUGAGACACGGCCCAGACUCCUACGGGAGGCAGCAGUGGGGAAUCUUGCGCAAUGCGCGAAAGCGUGACGCAGCAACGCCGCGUGGGGGAAGAAGGCUUUCGGGUUGUAAACCACUGUCGCGAGGGACGAAAAAAAAUGACGGUACCGUCGAAAGGAAGCACCGGCUAACUCUGCGCCAGCAGCCGC
rnacentral:rRNA from 1 species